UGUCUUGCCACAUUGAAAAAGGCUGCAGUAAACAGCCGAAACGCAUUUGUGUCUAAACCACAUCCUCAUCUUGCAGCGCUGGCGAGAAGGCUGGGGCAGGAUCUUCCCCCGGUACUUGGUCGUAUGUCAGAGAUGAUGCACAAACAAAAAUCAUUUUCCUGAAGUCCGGUCAUCCAUCCUCAUCCAGGCGGUGACACCUUCAUCCAUCUCGGGGAUGUCUUCUACAU